CAGAGGGGGCAAGCGUUGUUCGGAAUUACUGGGUGUAAAGGGCGUGUAGGCGGCCUUCUAAGUCGAACGUGAAAUCCCCGGGCUCAACCCGGGAACUGCGUCCGAUACUGGAAGGCUUGAAUCCGGGAGAGGGAUGCGGAAUUCCAGGUGUAGCGGUGAAAUGCGUAGAUAUCUGGAGGAACACCGGUGGCGAAGGCGGCAUCCUGGACCGGCAUUGACGCUGAGGCGCGAAAGCCAGGGGAGCAAACGGGAUUAGAUACCCCGGUAGUCCUGGCCCUAAACGAUGAAUGCUUGGUGUGGCGGGUAUCGAUCCCUGCCGUGCCGAAGCUAACGCAUUAAGCAUUCCGCCUGGGGAGUACGGUCGCAAGGCUG
rnacentral:rRNA from 1 species